rnacentral:lncRNA from 1 species
AUGGCAAACAUUCUUAAAACCCACCCGACAUUCUGUAAGAAGUGUGGCAAGCACCAAUCCCACAAAGUGAUACAGUAGAAGAAGGGCAAGGAUUCUCCAUAUGCCCAGGAAAAGUGGCAUUAUGACAGGAAGCAGAGUGGCUAUGGUGGGCAGACUAAGCUGGUUUUCUACAAAAGGCUAAAAGUACAAAGAAGAUUGUGCUGAGGCUUCAGUGUGUUGAGACCAACUGCAGAUCUAAGAGAAUGCUGGCUAUGAAGAGAUGCAAGCAUUUUGAACUGGGAGGAAAUAAGAAGAUAAAGGGCCAAGUGAUAUCCAGUUCUAA